CACUGAUAGUUCUAUAUUAUUAUCACACAUUUAUAAUAAACGUUCCUUUUUCAGGGUGAAACUAUUUCUCUUUAUCUGAAUUUGAUUCUUAAUCCAUUAAUUUCGAUUUGAUUAUUGAGGCUAAGUUAACAUGAAUUUGAUAUAGGGAACACUUUGAAAAUAAUUUUUAACUACACUUAAACUUUAUUUAGGACAGCAAACAAAAACAUACUGAAUAAAACUUUUAAACAACAUAGCUAGAAAACAGAAACCAUAUCAUGUUACAUUCAACGUGUUUUGAUGGGAUAAGCGAAGACACGUUGUCAAGUAAAGAAACGCUUGAUUAUAUUUAAAUGUAAAACAUUCAAUUAAUAUCAAAAAGCCUAAGUGUUUUCCCCUACUUUGAGAAUGGUGCUGGUACAGAUAACGGUACCGGACAGAUUGGGAAAAAAUCCAUCGGUUUGACUCAAAUUGGGAAUUUUAUUUUAGAUGCAAAAUAUUUAUUGGGAAUUUCUUUUAUCCAGGGAGGUGAUGAAAAUUUUGCAUUAUUAUACACUUUAAAACCAUGAAUUAUUAACUUUAAAGAUUUCAUUUUUUCUGCUUGAGGUUGAAAAAAAAAUUGAUAAUCAUAACAAUUGUACAUAAAUAAUGUUUAAGUGUGAAACAUUAAGUACGAAAUGAACUGGGUACGAAUAUCACUCAUGUGUUUUUACUUGGUUUUUAUUGUAUAUCACUUAUCAAUACGGAAGGCUCCGAGGCAUCCAUUACUGUUUUUUAGAGGAAAUUUUCAGUGUUAAAUUUGGAAUUUAUCAGUCAUGAAUUUGAAAAGUUGCUGUCUAUUUUCUAUUGGGAACGGUGCCGUUUUCCGGUAUCAGUUAUAUAAGGAAAACACUGGGUUGUUGUUAAAAUUUUAGUCAUUGACUAGAUUUCUACCAGAUUUUUGUUUUGUUUUUACUCCUCUUGUGGUUAUAGAGUGUGAUGAACAUAUCGACUCUUACUUUGUAAAACGUUCAGAUACAAAGACAGUUGCUAAAAAAUAGCAAAAUCUCAAGUUUGUUUUGUCCCUGUCUUGCAUAUCUGUAAUGGAAGAACAGUUAUUAUGGAUAAAUACAGGUACUUCAAUAAAAUGUAAUUUUGGGUACUGUCAGAUGUACACGUUACGCUACAAGUUUCUUCUCAUAAUUACAUAUUUAACAACUAGUAUGGCUAAUGAGUACACAAUCUUGGAGGUACUACACUACAUGGCAGAAGAGAAUAUCUGUCCUUGCAAGCAGUCUUGAAGACCUUCUGAAGAAAGGCAAUAAUUUUUACACACUACAGCACAAUUACAACACAGUGUUAGGUUGUGCUCAAACGAGGAAUGUACAGCCACAGUUGAUUGUGAAAGUCUGGUGAUCAAGAUGCCAAGUAAAACCGAUAUGUGAAUAGAAAAAAAAAUAGACAUUUCACAGUAUCAUAGCUUUAUUUACAUUUAAAUUGAUUUUUUAAAACAAGAAAUGUGAUUCCACCUUUCUGUGUUUAAUUUUCACUACAUAUGCAAAUUCAAUAAAUUAUCAUAAUGUAAGUAAUACCUAAUUGCAAUAACUAUUGUCCGCCACUUUGAUUUUCACAAACAUUUAACAUGGUGAACCCUAAAUGUUAAUCAAAUUAUUCACAAAAUUUUAGCGUUGCAAAAAUAUCUGAUUUCACAGUAUAAAGAAAAUUCAAACAAGUAGACUCAAAGCUCAAACUUUUCACAAAAUAUAAUAAUCAUGUAAAACAAGCCAUACUUGAUGAUAUUAUUUAGAAUUUUCAUUAAAAAAAAAAGGAACAGUUGACAAAAUUUAAUUUGAGUUCUAUAUAUGCUGUUGAGAUCCAUUUGUGAUGGCAGAAAUCAUCUGCAUGAAUAUAACUACGGAUCUCAUUUAUCUAAUAUUUGAUAGCUACAAUACAUAAUUGUUAUGUUAGAAUGGCUGUCUAAUGUUUUACAGAAAAGAUCUGUAGUUUGAUAAAUAAUUCAAACAGUUUGAUACUUCGAUGUAGUUGUUAUUGAUGACUAUUUCUCAGAAACACUAACUAAAGUUCUAUUCAAUAAUUUAGCUGGUGACAAGCAACAGUUGCAAGGAGGAAGUUUGAUUGUUGUGCUGGAAAAAAAAAUGUGACAGAAAUGGAAGAAAACGCCAUCCUUGACAUAUUCAAAACUAAGUAUUGAUGCUUCUAGAAGACCAACAAUUAUGAGAACCAGAUAUUCCAAAAGACACUGUUGUAAUGUUUGGGCAGACACCCAAGAUGCCAACAUGUCAAAGACAGACACAGAGUCCACAACUGUUACCACAACGACAGAAAUUGUAACACCAUCUUAUGUUGCUGGAAAUUAAAUUAAUUUUUGCAGUAGGCCACAUCCAACCAUUUGUUGACAAUCUAGAGAUAUUGUUUGAAGCAGAAGCUACACUUAGACCUGGAGGAAAAGAGUGCAAAGAUGAUUUGGACGUUAUAAGAGCCAUAGAAAGUAAUACAGGGUUCAAACAUGGAAAGGGGUGCAAGACUAGAUAAAUUGUAGUUCUACAUAAGGAUAUUGAAGAAGCUAAUCUGUCAAAGGUCCUGUCAUCACAGCCUAAUACUCCUCCAAGUGAAGCCUUGUUUUUAUUUUUAACAACAUAGAACUGGACAAACAGUAUAUUGUUGGAGACCAGUGCAAGAUACCACUUGAGACAGAUAGCUUCAUGGAAGGGCUAUUCUGAUUAAUAAGCUGGUAUUUUAUAAUGGAUCUAGAAAAUCCCAAUGCUUUUCACAACUCCUUGGAUUCAUGCAACAAACAGUAUUUAAACAAGCCUUUCUUAGUCACAAGUCGGCUGUGUAUUUACACUUUGUGGAACAAAUAGAACCAACAUUUUAAAUUAAAUUCAACCUUUUGUGUCAUGGACACAUUAUUGACUGCUUAACAGCUUACUUUUACCAUGAAAAAACCUGCUUUUUUGCACUUGCAAAAACAAAGGUGGAGAAUAGCUGUGUGGUAACCAUUAGCUGAUCAGUGCCUUUAUUUUUGCUGCAUAGAUAGUGCAA